AUGGCUCAGCGUCUGUCUGCUCUUGGAUCCUUUGGAGGCCUGCUAGAUUUCAGACGCUCAGGUUUGGCCAGUGCACUCCCAACCCCUGAAGUUAAGCAAGGUAGAUGAAUUAUUAAACCACACCGGGCCAUUAGCAUAUUGGGCCUUACCUCUCUGGGGUCCCUGCCCUUGAGCAACUAAAUGCUUUAUUGAAGAGGCAAAAAACAUGCACGAAAAAGAAAACUUCAAGGUGAUGUCCAGGUCACUCUUUGGAUUUAUCAAGGACGGUCCCAUUCGCGUCAGCGCCGCACCUGCUCUGGACGCCCCGGGACGUUCAGCGGCUGUGGCCGUGCGGCUGGACUGA
rnacentral:lncRNA from 1 species